rnacentral:rRNA from 1 species
UACGACUACAUAUCAGGCAUAUCAAUAAGCGGAGGAAAAGAAACUAACAAGGAUUCCCCUAGUAACGGCGAGUGAAGCGGGAAGAGCUCAAAUUUGAAAUCUUAAAGGAUUGUCCUUUACGAAUUGUAGUUUAUAGAAGUGUUUUCUGUUGAGGUUUCGGUAAAAGUUCUCUGGAAUAGGACAUCAUGGAGGGUGAGAAUCCCGUAUUUGACCGUUACUUCUCAGCUGUGUGAUACACUUUCAACGAGUCGGAUUGUUUGGGAAUGCAGUCCAAAAUGGGUGGUAAAUUUCAUCUAAAGCUAAAUAUUGGCGAGAGACCGAUAGCGAACAGGUACCGUGAGGGAAAGAUGAAAAGAACUUUGAAAAGAGAGUUAAACAGUACGUGAAAUUGUCAAAAGGGAAGCGUUUGACACCAGUGUUGUUUAGUUGAAAAUCAAUUCAAUAGUUUUUGAUUCUAAGUAGUAUUGACUUCAUCAGCUUGCUGCUUUCUUCUCAGAAAUCAUUGAAUGCACUUUUCAGUUAACAAGUCAACAUCAAUUUCUUUUGUUGUAAAAGGGUAAGAGGAAGGUGGCUUGCGCUUCGGCUCAAGUGUUUAUAGCCUUUUAUCUCUGCAAUCGGAGAGAUUGAGGUCUGCAGCGUAGAUCCUUCGGGGUUAGAUACAUUGGUGCUAAGCUAUAGCCUUGUAUAGACAACUUGUUGACUAUGCUCAGUCAUGUAGCUUACUCGCUGAUGCUAUUUUACCUACGCUUAGGAUGUUGAGUAGCGACAUACGCAC